AGUUUAAGCGUCGCCAUAGAUGAAAAAAGUAGAUACCAAACAUUCCUUUUGCUUUUUCAUCCUUGCUGUAAAUUGUUUAUCCUUGAAGAGAAAUACGGAAAUCUUGACUGUUUGCCCAGAUUUGCAGCUGGUCUCUAAAGGGAGAAAAAUGUUAAGCUCAACAGUGAAUUUGCAAGUUGCUCUGCUGGCACCAUCUAUCUAUCCGAUGGCUUAGCACAGUGCUGUGUGGUGCAGUAAGCGAGCUUCGACUUCAGUGUGUUGGGAUGCCAGUAAAAGAAUGAAGUUUUUCUUGGCCUGGAGCAGAAGUGUGUAUUGACAGAGUCUUGGUAUCUGUGCUGCUAUAGAAGGAUCAGCACUUGCUAAAUGGCUGUGGGCUGGAUGAGGAACAUGCUUUACUGUUGUCCCCUGUUGUACCUCCAAAGCAAACUGGCAUCAUAAUGCUGCUGGAAGAGAAAGCUCCUGCUGUUCAUAUUCUUAUUGUUCAGUGAGACCUCGGUCUCAUACACAUGGAUACUCUGAUGCCUUGCACAGACAGAAUAUUUUGGUAGGCUGAUCAACAUUCGUUUUACCUACGUAGAUGCUUGGCUUAUGGUAAGUGAGAUAUUUUCACUUAUUCAACUGGAUUGUCACAAUGGAAAACUUGGAAACUUCAGGAAAAAGAACAAUGAAACUAUUUGCUUUGUACUUCAGACUUACUACAGUGUGGUGAUUUUUAUGAAGGUAGUUAUGAAGAUAGAGCAAAAUUCAAAAUGCAAGCGAGAUGAAUGCAUUUAACUCUCGUUGAUGAUCUCCUGGUAGACUUUUCCAAAACAAUAA